ensembl:lincRNA
AUGCAGAUGGAAAGGGGUUUGAGCUCUUUAAGAGAAACUCCUCCCCUAUUCCCAUCCAACGCCACAAUAUUAUGUCUUUCUAAAACUACAGGGGUAGCCCGUUUUCCUCCUUCUUUCUAUAUAAUACAUCACAAACAGAGAGUAGAGAAAUUGACUGAGAGAACUGUAUUCUCAGGAAAGCUGGGUGAACACAAACAACAACAAAAAACAAUGAAAGGAAAUAUAAUCACAGCAGCCCUUGGGAUAGCUACUCAUAUACGACUACUGAAACACAAACAAGUAUGUAAUUUGUCUGAAAUCACGUGGCGAAAACUGGCAAGAGCAGGAUUCAAACACAGGCACUAAGGCUACGAAGUCCACCCUCCUGACCACUAAACUGCAUCGCCUCCUGAGAACUUCUUGCCAAGUAAAAGAAUUCUGAAGGAAGAACAUAAUUUGCAAGAUUUAGAACCACAGCAAGCCAAAAAUAGCCACCUCUCCAGAAGACUGGCCCAAAUACAAGAGGAUAAAGGUUGGAGAGUGCACCAAGACAGAGCACACAGAAACAGUGGAAAUAAUGCCCAGUAAUUUAGUGCUGACUACUCAAUUCACCUGGAAACAAUGCCUUAAAAUCUUCCAGCUUUAGCUUCCUAACUUCUCAGCUGCAGAUUUUUUAAUUAUAAAUCCAUAUUAAAAUGUGAUUAAAAUACACGAUCCAGAUUUGUAAUCUGGGUUCCAUUAUUUUCCAACUAUGUCAAUUUAAGCAAAUUAUUUAACCUCUGAGAAGCUCAACUUCCUCCUCCAAAAAAAAUGAGGAAAACAAUGGAGUUAUUCUGAGGACUAAUGAACUAUGCAUAUAAAUAUAUAAAGCACUCAGAGUUACAACCAGUGUAUAAUAAAAGCUCAAGGUUAAUUAUUAUUGUUUUUCAUAAUCAUCAUGACUUUUAGUAUUAAUAUCACGGUUUUUUUUUUACUAAAACUGCCAACUUUUCAAAAACCUCUCCAAGAAGAGCUGCUAUUUUUCCUGAGUUGAUUGGAAAAGCAAAGGCAACCUCUGCUGGUUUCAUAUAAACAUUAUCAAAUCAAUGAAUCACCAACUCCCUAUGAAAUGGAAGAGGGAGGUUAUCAGGCAUGCCUUUCAAAAAAAGAGCUUUUUUGAAAGGCAUGCCUAAUAAAAAAAAAAAAAUAGGGAAAUAAUAACAACAACAUCAACAACAAUAAAUAGGAAAAAAUAGGAGCAUUUACCAUUUUGCCCUCCCCAACUUCUUCCCCUGCGGGGAAUAUGGAAGGGGGCCAGAGUCAAAGCAGCCUUCCCUAACAACAGGCAUCCUAUUAGUUAGGGAGGUGAAAUCCACCAUAGAUCUCCCACCCCCAUCUUCUUUCACAUUGGAGAGAAAUAAACCUUUACUUCAAGAACUUAAUUCGUUUUCUAUUAUAUGCAACUCUCCAUGAUCCUAUGAAACACAGUUAAAGGCCAAAGGUUCCUGGUAGUUUCAAGGGCUAACUGGAGGGCUGGGCUAUUUAUCAUGGCUUUUUAGUUACAUCCUGAGCCUGCAACCUCUUCAGUGCCAAGUCAAAGUCAAUGGAUGAACCCAUGGGAAAGAAACAGCAAACCAUACUACUUCCCAAUACUUAGUAGCUAUGUUGCCUUAUUACAAACAGAACAAAGGAUUGGAGGGCAUGUGAAAUGUCCCUCCUCCAGCUUAUUUUCUUCCAGUCUCUGGAUCCAUAUAUCCAGUUUACAUGCUAUUAGGCUAACGCUAAAGGAGAAAAACAAAAAAACUCAAAUGCAAGAAUGAGGAUGGUUGAUAAAGUUACUGCUAUUACAAAGGCUACACAACUCCAACUACCACGGACCAUGAAGAAAAAUGUCUCCCACUCACAAAUGUCCCAAUUUCAAAUAUCUAGCAUUUCACAUUAGGCUUUAACUAUAAUACUAUUUUAGACUGAUCAUCUAAAACCUUCUAUUUCAAAAAAUAAAGCUCAAAAAUAAAUUUGUUACAUAUUCUCUCGUAUCUCAUUGGCACCAUUCUAAAAACUAUGUUCAAAAACAGCGUGAGUCCAUAACUAGAUUACAUGAAAGGAUUUUUCAAUCUAAAUUGGAAUCAGGGGAUAUGAAAUGGAGAAAUUCACACAGGCACCCACAAAAAAACAGAACUUAAUAACUAAGAGACUGAUUCCUAUAAAUGCCUGAUUUACAGAAGACCAAGACUUAUCUCCUGACCACUGAACAUCUGCCACAACUCUCUCUCCAUUCACAAGCCAAUGAACUUCCCUGCUUGAACUCUGCCUGGCCCUCCCGCUCUGGACUCCUUGGCCAUGGAUAAAGCCUGAGCCAAACCCUCAAUGGCCCCACCUAUUGUUUGCUACAGGAUGCAUUUCCCAAAUUGCAAUUGCUCCGCUGUCCCUAAAUAAACUCAAUUUCUGGUAAUUCCAGCUUGCCUCAGUUUACAUCUUUAUUUAAACCAACAGCAGUGCCAUCCUGAAAAUAUUUUGUUUUGUAUCUGAAAUGUAAUUUAAUAACACUGCCAUUAUUCUGAAAGGAAACAUAGUACCAAAACAUUCAGAGGAGAGAACCAUUAAAAAAUCCAAACCAAUAUUCUGUUUAUACCUCUUUUUUAAAACAUAAUUAUUUUUCUAGAAAUAUCACUGACACAGUGAAUUUAAAAAAGCUAGAUUUAUUUUUUAUUAAAAUUUAAGGAAUAUUUUGUAAGUAAAAAUAUACUUGCCAACUAACCAAUGUUUUUAAUAAAAUAUGAAAUUUAAAUUAUAAAUUAUUUUGAACAUUAACAAACUUUAUAUUAACUAUAUCUUCUUAUUUGC